GUCAUUCGCGGCUACGGCUUCGAGUGCGUGUCCUUGUUAUACUUCAAGGGAGAGGUAAUCCUUCGCCUUGUCUCUGACGGCGUAAAAACAGUGACGAAC
rnacentral:ncRNA from 23 species